GACCAGAUGCGUAACUAUUAAUAAUCCCGACUACGUAUCUGCGUUGGAUAUCACUGGCAUGGCACGCGCUUGUAGGCGGAGCCUGCGUGUCCGUUAUAGCGAACAAAACUACAGCUAAAAGCGGCCCUGGAAACUAAACUGUUUGUCCGUUAUAAGCGAAAUUCCGUUAUAUGCGAGUCCGCUAUAACAGGAUUUUACUGUAUUCACAUCAAAGGCAUUUCUUCUCAGUCCUGUAGGAGGCGCAAUUUUGUGAACAAUUAUGUUCAAGUUACAAGUCCAUGAUGUCAACUGCGAUUCUUCCAGAGACAAGCUGCAGGCACUAUGACUGUGAUGAUGGGCACCAGCCGGUGGCAGUGCAGCCUGGGCUGUACAGGGCUGCUGAAAAACAAUUUGUCUAUGGGAGAAAUGUGCUACUGUACCGGACACACCACUCUCAAAUGUGGAAAAAAUAAGAGAACAAAAGUGACAUCGCCAUCAACAAUAUUUUCCCUGGACAAGUCCAGCCACUCUCUACGGAUGAGCAGAUCGCCAUGGAGGCAAAGUUCUUUUCAGCAUGACGUUCUGAUGAAUUUUUUUUACAUCAAUAACGGCUGCCGCUUUGCCACUGCUUGUCAAGUAAAUCUCGAGCUGUAUACGACACCUGUGAAGCAGCCUGCAAGGGAACAGCCCUCAGCACUGAAACGGGGGGAUUCGCGUGCAGCUCUGACAUGUCCUCAGGGCCAGCGCUGUAUGGAGAUAAGGUAAAAAGAAAGGGAAGGAACCCAAGAAAGCAAAGCAGAGUGUUCUGCCUCUCUGGAGGUGUGUGAGCAAUCGCAUGUGGUGGCAAUGCGACCUGGGAACUUGUGAGCUCCACGUGGCAGCAUUCUACCCAGGCACGGGGUCCGGUGCUCUGCUUUGAUUAUGUGAGGCAGUGACAUGGUGGGUGAUACGUGACCUUGAACCAAUGAGAUUGCAGCAUCCACAAAGGAAGCCUUGACUGAAUCUGUUACUCAGGCAUCGUCUGCAAGCUUUCAAAGUGGCUGGACCUGGAGCCUGUCCCAGGCAGCACUGGGAAUAAUCCCCAGCCCUGGGGGUGUGAAGCAACAGUGAAACUCCGUCGUUAAAGUAAAAUUAUUAAUAAUAUAAUAAUAAUUAUAUUCAGCAUUAUUAUUAUUGUAGACCGUGACAUUGAUGUUUUUUGUUGCUAAUCAAAAUCUUUAAAUUAAUUCUAAUUACCUAACCUUGGAUAAGGCAUGGAUAAAUGAAAUUACAACACUAAAAGAUAUCUUAGAGUGCAUUAACGCUAAGUAAAAGUCAUAGUCAAAAGAAAACUUUAAAAGGAAUUCUUUAGAGCUUGGUUACCUCUAAUUAUUCUUUAUCAGAAGAAUGUUUUGAACACAUUAAAUGAAAUGUUUAUGAAAAUAAUAAGAUUCAGAUCUCUUGCAUCAUCAGGCUUUGAAGGGGG